GGACUACAAGAAGAAUUGUGUUCCAGACCAAUUAAAACCAAAAGGCUGUGGCGAACAACUUCUUCAAAAUUAUGUUGUCAAGGUACAGAGUGAAAUGAGAUACCAAUGUGCAGGAUCGAGCUCGAUGUGUACCGUUUGCCCAAGAGGAUUAUUAGACAGUGCAAAAAGUACCUGCUACAACAAUUAUCAAAACGAUCAAACUGCAUCAAAACUCCAUUGUUGUGUGAUCGAAUACAGCAGGACUUGUGUUCCGGAAAUACUCGCAAGACCAGGAUGCGAUGAAACGUUUCUUCUUGACCAGUUCUUUAAGGACAUCAACGCCGACUGUGGAACAUCGAAGCCAGUCUGCUUGGCGUGCAAUCAAAAAGCAAUAUCAGAUGCGGAAGAUGUGUGCUUGAGGAAAUACGAACAGGAACACGGAAUCAUUUCUAGGGGCC